AAGUCGUAACAAGGUUUCCGUAGGUGAACCUGCGGAAGGAUCAUUAAAGAGAGAUUGGGGCGCCCCCGGGCCCCCGAACCUCCCAACCCUAUGCCAACGUACCCUUAGUUGCUUUGGCGGGGCGCGGCCAGCAAUAGCCCCGCUGGUCCCCUCACCGGGGCCGGUGAGCCCCCGCCAGAGGAUCAUAAAAUUCUUGCUUUUAAGAACGGUGAAGUCUGAACUUUUCUAUUUGAAAUAGCGAAAAAACUUUCAACAACGGAUCUCUUGGUUCUG
rnacentral:misc_RNA from 1 species